ACUAAGAGCUCUUCCGAUUAGAUUUCGCCAAAACCACCCCACCGCCUAAUGCUUCUUCUUAUAUGUCUUCCUGUCAAUCGUUAAUAGAAAAACCGCCGCUACCAAAAAAAAUCCCUAAACUUAUCGAUAGCGGAAGGAACGAGGACGUCUUACUGUUUCUCCAUGCAAUCGACAAUACGUUCGGUGGUUUGACGUGGCAAUACGUUUGGUGAUUUGGUGUCAAUCGUGUCUGCAUUCACCCUCUCACCUCCACACCUGCUUCGCCCCACUGUAAAUUCACUUUCUUCUACCCCUGUCUCGAUUGAGAGUUUUUUUAAGCCCUAAUACAAUCGCUUCCGCUUCCGUCGUUCAUUGCUGUUUCAGGUUUUGGAUUUGGGUGGAAAUGCAGCAAGAGAUAACAAGAAGAAGAGAAUUAACUGUAGACAUGUUCUAUUUGUUAUGAGGAACUGUUCAAUGGACGAGAAUUAAUCCUUUAUCGACACCUCUCCUCACCUCUCCUGCUAUUUCUAUUCCCACCAUAUACGCCAGAUAUUGAUAUGGUGCUUAUAUGGACAGAAAUGGAAGAAUAUGGUCACUUUGGUAGGUAUGGAUAUAAAUUUCCUUUUGGUGAAGUGUUUUUUUCAUGGCCAUCUCUUAUUUUAGAUAUAUACAAUUCUGAUUGUACAAGGACCAGAGACCGAAACAGUAACAAAAUACAAACAUAUGGGUCGUAUGGAUGGAAAAAAAUGGGCUACCAGUCCAAUAACCGUAAAACCAUAGGGCCCAUUUUUAUAAUUUAUCUAAUAACAAUAUAAGCAUUAAAGUGGUUUCACGUUUUUGAAGUUGGAGUUAUUUUUUGGCAAAUACACAUCUAAAUCAUCUAUUUUUGGUGCCCUCAAGGUAUAUACAUGCAAGCAAUAGCAACAUACUUGAUGGGUUUUAUGCAUAAGAAACAAUCUUAUGUGCUCAUACAAACCCUAAUGUUUGGAUCUAGGUUUCUUUAUUGUACAUGCUUUGAAUCCAAGACUAAUAAACUUAGAUCUAACAUAUUAUAAACUGAAUUAGGGUUUAGAGAAUUACCUUUGAUUGUUAUAUAGCAAUAACAAUCAAUUCCUUGCUUGGAUUGGCCUUAGAAAGCUUAGUGCCUCAAGUGCUACACAUCUAAUGGAAUCACAAACACCUUAUGCAACUUGGAUGAAGAGGAGAAGAAAGGAGGCUGCCAAAAACGACUAGAAACCCUAGAGAAUCAGUUGUCCACGUUUUUGGGGCCUAAGGGGUCCUUUAUAUACUUGUGUGGGUUGCUAGGGUUUCAGUCAAAACCCUAAUGGACAGCUUAAACUCUAAGCAGCCCAUGGAACCUUCUGGAUAAGGCCAUGGACAAAAAUAUGAUGGGCUCCCAUCAUAAUUUCGUUCACCCCUUGUUCCUUUAGCAUUCCUUAGCCCAAUAACUCAAUUAUCCAAUAAUUGCAGUCCAGUCCCCUAAAUUUAAUUAAUCUCUUUUAGUCACAAAAUUAAUUCUUAAUUAAUUCUUGACUAAUAUUAAUUAAACAAUAUGAUUUCCCCUUUAAUAUAUUAUUCUCAUAAUAUAUUAAUAAAUCAUAUUUAAACCUCUCUCUUCUUAAUUCAUCCUACAUAUUGCUAUGGUGAAGGCAACCCAAAAGGACCAUGCUUAUAAUUGGGUUAAGUACAUACCAAAAUAGUUAUGGACUUAGACACUAAUCCAACAGUCUCCCAUUUGGAUAAGUCUAAUAACUAUUUUUCCGUAUGACUUCAGAACCUGAUCAGCAAUCGUAGCUUUGAAAAGCCGCUGUCAACUCUGAUCUUAUCAGAUAGCGUGUCCUCUAGAUAAGGGAUUAUAUAUUCCUCCAUUCUCAAGAUAUCGUAUAGACAAAAGACAUGAAUUUCAAUCAUUCUCUCUAUACUGUUUCCCGUCUUCCGAUUUAUGACGACUGAUAACAGACUACAAUUAAACACAUCAACUUAGUCCCGGCUUGGCCAAGCGCUUAGGUGUCAUCACUAAAUCAUCGAGAGACCCACAGAUAUCGCUUUUAUCCCACUUUAAGUAAAAGGAAUGGAUAAACUUUGACUCAUAUGCUUGCUUGCAUUUACUGAUCGAAUCAUACACAACAAUAAGUUUUAUAACACCAAGUUACUGGUGCGUUUACUUAUUAUCAAUGUGCAACCGACCAACAAAUAACAACUCACAUGUCUCGUUUCAAGAAUAUACAAUAUUAUCGUCUCACUAAUCACUCGUGAUAAAUCUAUGAAGUGAUCCAAGUGAGCGUGGGUUUAAUCCAAUACUCUAAUCUUAUCAAAGCACUCAUGAACUCUGCAGCAAACUUGUGCUAUGUCUAAACACUUCAGACAAUCUACAGACAGAUUCAUGACAGUCUUUAUUCAUACCUACUCCCAACGUAUGACUGACUGUGGAUGUUUGAAUAACCUAGUUAUUCUGGAAGUCAAAACAUGCAAACUGAAACAUAAUAAUAAUACUUAAUUCUAUAUGGCCUCAAACUUGUGAGAGUAAAUAAAACACUUCUAUUUAACCACCAUAUUGAUUACUUAUUAUUAUCGUUACUGUUUCAGAAAAUCAACUUAUUACUCAAAUUACAACAAUAGCUGUCCCAUGCAUUAAGCAUGCACACUAUGUUUCCUAUGGUCCUUACUUUAUGAAAUAGAUCAAUUGAAAAACCUUUUCAAUGAUGCUCAUUUCACAAUUCCCAAUCCUUAUCAUUAGUGUAAGAACACAAGGUUCUUUGCUACUAUUAGAAUAUGCUAGAUUCUAACAUCUUAUGCAACGAUCCUUUCAUAAAGUCAUAGCACAAAAGUCACCAAGACUUGGCUAAUGAAAUUACAAAGUACUUUCUCAGAAAUUGUUGCAAGACAAUUCCAUAGACGCGAAGUCUCACAUUCAAAGUACAUUCCUUUGAACAUCCUUCUUGCAUAAAAGUUUCUAAUCUAGACAUAGACUCUCAACAUCCAACUUCCAAUAUGGAAACAUUUCCAUAUUUGCCAAAUGACAACUCAUUCUUAAUAGAAUCUUAUCUAUUCAUAAUAAUGUCAAUAUGGUCCAUCCAAUACCAUACUUCCAACUACUCACAAGCGACCAAUCCUCAGCGAACUUUGGAUCGUCCUUUGAUAGUUGUUUAAUUAUUUUAGUCCAAACUGAUUCUAAUCAUUUUUCCCACUUAAUGCGCUAGACAUUUGGAAAAUUUUAGAAUGGUCAAAUAUUAUAACAUUUGCAAUCGAUCCUAUACCCCAAGCGUAUGAGACACGAUGCAUAAUGUCUUACAUAAAGAUAUGAUACUUUACCAAUCUUUUGCCAUAAUAUUUUAUGUGUCAUGUUCUCACAAUUCGAACUAUGAAGAGAGAUGUCGUAAUCAUAAUCGAAUUUUAAGAACACACAAUGUAUCCUUUGACUGAAAAUAUUAAAAUUUCUCAAUCUACGCUUUAGAUUAUGAAACGAAGUAUAAUAUUCUCUCCAUUAAUUAUAUUAAAACAACUUUUCAACCCAUGCAACUUUGCAAAUUGAAUCUUUGUUUUUCUAUAAUUAAUAUUGCUAACUUGCAAUACUCGCCAUAAUAAUCAUACAAGCAUAACACUUAUGCUCCCACUACCAUGAUGAUUAUUAUCAUAUAAGCAUAACACUUAUGCUCCCACUAGCUUUGACAUGUAUUCAGAAAACAAAUGAACUUUCAGAAAACAAUGCCUAUUGAAUUUCUGAAAUUCAUAUUUCUAAUACUAGAUGCUUCGAUAAGCCUUUAUCUAGGCUUCUUAACCUUAUACACCUUUGUCUUAGAUAGCUCAUAUGUGUGUUUAAACAAUUCAGAACUUAUGUUACUAAGUUCUAAAUGUUGAAACUAAUUGCCAAAUCUCAUAAUUCGAACUAUGGAAAGGGAUGUCGUAACCAUAAUCGAAUUUUGAGAAUACAAUUUUCACAAUCGCUAUCUUCUUAAAAUAUCUUUUAGUGAAAGCAUUUCCUCACAGUCAUUUUCAUGAAGGAGGGAAUCUUAUGACACUUAGAUUUUAUGGUGUAUGAGUUCCUAUCCAUGUGAAUUUGCCAAAACCAAGGUUUGCGACAAAUCCAAACUCAUAUGAACUGAAUUUUCUUAAUCUUGAUUUCUUGUCUUAUGGUAACACGAGUGCCCACCAUGUCUUCCAAGUAGUUUAGUAACUUGUCCUUACAUAUCAAUGUACUUUCCAUCGACUAAGGCUCUAGUAUGCAUUCAAAUGAGAACUCAUAGAACUCACAUACGCAAUUAACUCAAUUGGAAUGACACAAAAACAAAAUAAUGUCAGCACGAUAGGUUGCAAACCUCAAGUCGUGUGCUAGUGAUGAUCGAUAAGGUAUAUUCUUGAUUUGUUCUUGAAACCUUUCAAGACCAUUAAGACUCCCACUGACUCCUUGACAUAUAAGAUUCUCUUGUCAAGAAACAUUUCUUGACAAAACAAAUAUUCAAGAGUUAGUGUAGUUCUUAUCAAGACAAAACACUUCGCAAAUUGGUCCUAGUUGGUCUUUGUCUUAUCCAAGACAUCACAACUUACCAAUUUCUAAUGUGCAAGAAUAAGAAAACUUUUCCAAAUUCUACAUUUGAUGAGUGUUAUAAACCUACUUAAGACUUGUCACUCAAUGUCACAAUCUUGGAGUAUGACUCUAAGACUUGAUAUUGGAACGAAGUAUGAUUGACUCUUUUAUUUAACCAUUGCUACAAUUCUCGAUUCCUCUUCUUAGACAUGCAAAUACACUAAGACUCACUUAGAGGAUCAAUUGAGAUAUGGUUCUUAAUCAUUAAGACUUCAUCAUAAAACACAAUAAAAGGUACUCUCCAUUCUUCUUAGAAUGGAGAAACUUUUAUCUUUCUGCCUUCUUGAUUCUUCUUAUUCGUUCUGCUAUUGAUUGAAACUAUCUCAGUUAACUCAGCAUUAUACUCAAUCUUAUAAGUAUAACCAUAUUUACUAAACUUUAGUAAAUCAUGACGAAUAUCUUUGUCACUCUUGUGGUAGACUUGAUCAACGUACGACCUAGUGUACUCGAUCUCCUAGUCCUUCAAUUGACACUUUGUCAAAGAAUUAGUCUAAAUUUUCCAAAUGUGAAAGUUUUUCAUUCAUCAUACAAUACACGUUGCAUGAUUCCAAGUUUCUGUCCAAUUGAAACUUGGGUGAUGAGAAACUCUCCCUAUUUGGUAAACUUAUGAUAUGUCCACAAAUAACAUAAUUAAGAAUCAAAUCCAUUGUUGUUAAUAAUAGAAACAUUCAAACAUCAAUUUUUUCAUACAUGCCAUCGCAAGGAUAAAUAAAUAAGAUAAAAUCAAAAUUCAUUUUAUUGCGGAAAAAAUUUGUCCUUACAAUGCAAUUCAAUUGAAAAACUAUGUUAUUACAUAUUUCUUAACAAUCUAUUCUAACUCCAAAUAGUAGCUCAAGAAUCCAUUCUUCAAGUAUUGCGAUCGAAAUCCAUUUCUUCAUGAUUAGAUUCAGCUCACUUCUUCCCUCAAGCUUCCUCUCUUUUCUUCAAUCCUACAAAACAUCAAAAUGUAAUCUUAUCACAUCAUGUAUUAAGAAUCUAGAAUAUGAACUCAAAAGAGUUAGAUAAUGGAUUUUUACCUGAAGCAGAGCCAUACGUCUUGACUCUCCCAUCUCUUAGAUCUCUCAGGUAGUUAGGGCAGCUUCGUCUCCAAUGCCCCUUCUCUUGGCAAUAAAAGCAAAUGGACUCCUUUGGCACAGCACAUCGGACAAUCACAGACUUAGUUCUUUCUGCACUUCCAAUGUUGUCAGUGUCCAUUGAAGUUUGGGAGUUUGAUUCACCAGACAAGUUUGCUUGACCAACACGCCAAAUCAUUGCUGAUUCAGCAGCUAUAAGCAAAUAGGUGAGAUUAAUGAGGGUCACGUCGUGAUCCAUCACAUAGUACUCUCUAACGAACUCACUAUAUGAUUCAGGAAGUGAUUGAAGAACCCAGUCAGCAGCCAACUCGCUUGAAAUCUUGACACCCAACAUGCUUAACCUAUCAAUGUGUGACUUCAUCUCUAAGACAUGUGCACACACAGGUUUCCCAUCUUCGUGUUUACUUGCCAAAAGGGCUUGAGUGAGCUUGAACUUUUCAAGCCUUUGAACUUGUGGGUCAAGGAGAACGAUUGGAGGAGGUGGAGGAAGUGAAGCAUGACUCUCAUUUCCUUGAUCGUAUCUCAGAAUGUCAUCUUCAUUUGGAAAGCUUGUUCCAAAGGAUUUGGGAAGACCAUUGUAAGAUUCAGACAUCUACAAAACGAGAGAAAAUUCAAGUUAUGUUGAUUAGAAUUCUUGAUGUAACACCCAAAUGAAACAUCAAGCUAGGAUCCAACACAAUAUUCUACAACCUAGAAAAGGGAUGUCGUAAUCUAGUUGCAAAAUAUUUGAAGGUAGGUAAAUGACGAUUUACCAAUUUCCACCAUGAAAAACGAAAAGGAAGAUUAAGUUUUAAAUGAAUUGAAACUCCUAGAUCUUUUGAGAUUCAUUGAACUUUUCAAUGGCAUGUUUAAUCUCGAUUAUGCCCUACUAUUUGUGACUGGGAUGCCGAGGAUCACAAACAAGGUGUGAAUAACCAUACGAAUCACGUGGUGCACCCAAUUCUACUAUCACCUAAUCAAUGUGCCGGUUAGCCACACACGCUCCAUUGAUCUAUGACAAACAUCGAGUCACCCUUCGCUACCAAUGUCAUCCCCAAAUUAGUGUGCCAGUUAACCACACACGCUCCACUAACGUUUGACAGGGGUACGAAGUGUAAUUCUAUGGAUUAGCAUACAAUUUCACAUUUUUCCUAAAGUAACUAUGAUUUGGGAAUUUGAAAAAGCAUUUAGUUACUUUGUACUUCAUUAUACUUAUAAUGGAAGGUUUCUGUCCUAUCCUACCCGUUCGGCUAACGACCCUCCACUAGUCAAGAGUGCGGUGGGUAAGAGGGGAUACCCAUUCAAUCGCCAUUUUAUAGGCAAUUUCCUUAAACACCCCUUAUAGACCAGCUUCGUGAAUGAGGUCCACUAAAGGUAAGACUGACUGUUUAUUCAUAUAUAAUACUAGACUUUUAAUGUUAUAUAUAAUAUAGGGUGUAUUUUACACUUUUAAAAUACUAGGUGGUUUAACUUAGUAAAUUAUACUUUUAAUUUAAUUAAAUGUAAACCAAAAACUUUAUGGGUUUAUUAAAUCACUUUUAAUUAUACACUUUAAUUAAUUAACAAAACCAUAAGGGUGUGAUUCGAACUUUUCAAAUUACUAGGGUUUUAGAAUUUAACAUUUCAAAAUUAAACUUAUAAUCAACUUUUAAAUUCCAAAAUUUGAGGGCAAGUUUUGAAACAUUUCAAAACAUUAGGGAUCAAAUAACAAAUAAUUCAAAUUAAACAAUUAAUUUCAUAAUUAUCUACAUUUGACCUAAUCUUAUUUUAGUCAUUAGAUAAUUACCAAAUAACUUUAAAUAAUUCAUAUUUAUCACAUAAACAACCAACAUUUAAAAUAUUUGAAAUUAUCUAUUGUUUUGGCAAGGAUAAACAUAUAAUUAAGAUAAAAUUCGGAUUUUAGCUUCAUAAAACAAUUUAAGUAUCAAAUCCAAGUCAAAACAGCAGCUAAAUCCCGAAAUACCCUCUGCCUGACGCACUGACUCGCCGAGUCAGACCUGGACUCGCCGAGUAGGGCCAACUCGCCGAGUCCAGAUACUGACUCGCCGAGUUGUGUCGGGCAGAGGCAAUAAAACUCGUUUUUAAGCAAACAAAACAGUUAAGCAUCACAUACAACUGAAACCAAUCAAGGCUCUGAUACCACUGAUGGGUUUUAUGCAUAAGAAACAAUCCUAUGUGCUCAUACAAACCCUAAUGUUUGGAUCUAGGUUUCUCUAUUGUACAUGCUUUGAAUCCAAGACUAAUAAACUCAUAUCUAACAUAUUAUAAACUGAAUUAGGGUUUAGAGAAUUACCUUUGAUUGUUAUAUAGCAAUAACAAUCAAUUCCUUGCUUGGAUUGGCCUUAGAAAGCUUAGUGCCUCAAGUGCUACACAUCUAAUGGAGUCACAAACACCUUAUGCAACUUGGAUGAAGAGGAGAAGAAAGGAGGCUGCCAAAAACGACUAGAAACCCUAGAGAAUUAGUUGUCCACGUUUUUGGGGCCUAAGGGGUCCUUUAUAUACUUGUGUGGGUUGCUAGGGUUUCAGUCAAAACCCUAAUGGACAACUUAAACUCUAAGCAACCCAUGGAACCUUCUGGAUAAGGCCAUGGACAAAAAUAUGAUGGGCUCCCAUCAUAAUUUCGUUCACCCCUUGUUCCUUUAGCAAUCCUUAGCCCAAUAACUUAAUUAUCCAAUAAUUGCAGUCCAGUCCCCUAAAUUUAAUUAAUCUCUUUUAGUCACAAAAUUAAUUCUUAAUUAAUUCUUGACUAAUAUUAAUUAAACAAUAUGAUUUCCCCUUUAAUAUAUUAUUCUCAUAAUAUAUUAAUAAAUCAUAUUUAAACCUCUCUCUCCUUAAUUCAUCCUACAUAUUGCUAUGGUGAAGGCAACCAAAAAGGACCAUGCACAUAAUCGGGUCAAGUACAUACCAAAAUAGUUAUGGACUUAGACACUAAUCCAACAAUACUUUCAUUGGUUUGUUUAUUUUAAGCAAAAUUAAAAGUAGAAUGUUAUAAUUGGAAUGUUAUGGGGAGAACUGGAUGGUGGGAUUACAUCCCUCACAGUGAAAAGAAGUUUGUUGGAUUUAACAAGGACGGGAAGCAACUUAUGAUGCACAGAAACGGAUACGGCAACGGGAAACGGAUACAGAACAAAAAUGGGAAACAACAAAACUCGAAAAUUCAAGAUUCGGAUACUGCAGAGAUACGACAAUAUAUACGAAAUUACAAAAUAGAUAUAUAUUGAUGCAAAGUGUAAACUCCAAAAAUACUAAAUUUUUCAAAGGUAAUUAAUUAUCAAUAAUCAAAUCAUUUUCAAAAUUCGGUUUAUCUAGUGAGAUGUCGACAACCUCAAAAAAUUCUAAAUCUUCAAUUGAAUCAAAAGCAUCUCCACCCUCAUCCCACAUCCUUACAUCAUCAUUCAGAUUCUUUGACAAAAGUCGGAGAUUAUUGUGGAUGUAAACCGAGUCUUGAGCAUGACUUGUAGUCAACUUGUUCCUUUUAAGCGAGUGAACAAAUGCAUAAGUACUCCUCCAAUUACGCUCAGCACAAGAAUAAGAAGUAGGUUGUCCAACUAAUCUGAAAGUCAAAGUCCGGAGAAAAGGAGUUUGAGCACCAAAGUUAACCCACCAAUUCUUGCGUUCCAUAGUAGCCAUCUCUGAAAUACUUGUUAAAUCCUCAAAAUGACCACUCUUCAUUGAAAACAUUGCAUACUUAUCAAGGACUCUACUAUGCUCAUCAUCAUUAGGAAACAACCUUCGAAAAUAUUUCAUCAUUUCUUGUGAAAUUUCUCCAUCCCUAUGUGGAGCACAUCUUGUAGAAUCCUCAAGUAACCAUGCAUUAUUAUAAUAUCUACAACAUUUAAAAGUUAAAACAUAAGUAUAUAAUAGAAAUCAAAUGUAUAACUUAAAAUCAUAUACCUUUGAUUUAAAGAGUGAGUUAAACAAUGUAGGGAGUGUUAUUUUUCGCCCAUCGAGCCAUUAAAAUACGAUGCACAACAUCAUAACAACUCAUUUGAGAUGCCGAACGUUUUUCUUUCUUGUAGAUCUCAUUUUUCACUUUCUCAAUCAUCGAAUCCCACAUCUCAUACACCAAGUGUAAACAUGGCUUGUUAGUGUCACAAACUCUAAUCAUCUCAUAUAUAGGUCCAGUGAAACUAAGAAUAUAUACUACUUUGUCCCACCAUUCAUCAUUCAAAAUAUAUUCUUUCACAAAGUUUGUUUUCUCAGUGUCAUAUAAUCUAUAAGAAGAUUAUUCUUUGUUUAUGACCAUAGCUUGAAGACCCAUUUUGAUAAGUUUCAAUCUGUUGAGCAUCACAAUGAUGGAGCAAAGCGAGUGUCGACAACCGAAAGCAGUCUAAGAGGACUAAACUUCGUGAAAAUCGAGAGUCUCGUGUUAUGGUUCAUGAUUAAAUAUUUUAUUGCAAGCGCAUCUUCGUGAGCUUCUUUUAUCCAGGUGCAUUGUUCAUAUGUUAGUUCAUUUGUUUCCAUAUUCCUUGGUGAACAAAUGUUCUUUAAAGCAAGAUUAAGCAUAUGAACAAUACAUGGUGUCCGAUAGACGUGAGGGAACUGACUCUCUAUAUUCUCUCCAGCCGCCUUAUAAUUUCCUGUAUUGUCGGUAAUGAUUUGCACAACAUUUUGAUGACCAAUUUCAUUGAUUUUCACAACAUUGGGGAAGUAAAAGAUAGAUUUUAUAUUGUUGAAUUGAUGAAAGAAGUCAUCAAUGAAAUUGGUCAUCAAAAUGUUGUGCAAAUCAUUACUGACAAUGCAGCAAAUUAUAAGGUGGUUGGAGAUAAUAUAGAGAGUUAGUUCCCUCACGUUUAUCGGACACCAUGUGUUGUUCAUACGCUUAAUCUUGCUUUGAAGAACAUUUGUUCACCAAGGAAUAUGGAAACAAAUGAACUAACAUAUGAACAAUGCACCUGGAUAAAAGAAGCUCACGAAGAUGCGCUUGCAAUAAAAUAUUUAAUCAUGAACCAUAACACGAGACUCUCGAUUUUCACCAAGUUUAGUCCUCUUAGACUGCUUUCGGUUGUCGACACUCGCUUUGCUCCAUCAUUGUGAUGCUCAACAGAUUGAAACUUAUCAAAAUGGGUCUUCAAGCUAUGGUCAUAAACAAAGAAUAAUCUUCUUAUAGAUUAGAUGACACUGAGAAAACAAACUUUGUGAAAGAAUAUAUUUUGAAUGAUGAAUGGUGGGACAAAGUAGUAUAUAUUCUUAGUUUCACUGGACCUAUAUAUGAGAUGAUUAGAGUUUGUGACACUGACAAGCCAUGUUUACACUUGGUGUAUGAGAUGUGGGAUUCGAUGAUUGAGAAAGUGAAAAAUGAGAUCUACAAGAAAGAAAAACGUUCGGCAUCUCAAAUGAGUUGUUGUUAUGAUGUUGUGCAUCGUAUUUUAGUGGCUCGAUGGGCGAAGAAUAACACUCCUCUACAUUUUUAGCUCACUCUUUAAAUCACAUGUAUAUGAUUUUAAAUUAUACACUUGAUUUCUGUUACUUGAGGAUUCUAUAAGAUGUGCUCCACAUAAGGAUGGAGAAAUUUCACAAGAAAUGAUGAAAUGUUUCCUAAUGAUGAUGAGCAUAGUAGAGUCCUUGAUGAGUAUGCAACGUUUUCAAUGAAGAGUGGUCAUUUUGAGGAUUUAACAAGUAUUUCAGAGAUGGCUACUAUGGAACCCAAGAAUUGGUGGGUUAACUUUGGUGCUCAAACUCCUUUUCUCCGGACUUUGACUUUCAGAUUAAUUGGACAACCUACUUCUUAUUCUUGUGCUGAGCGUAAUUGGAGUACUUAUGCAUUUGUUCACUCGAUUAAAAGGAACAAAUUGACUACAAGUCGUGCUCAAGACUCGGUUUACAUCCACAAUAAUCUCCGACUUUUGUCAAAGAAUUCGAAUGAUGAUGUAAGGAUGUGGGAUGUGGGUGGAGAUGCUUUUGAUUCAAUUGAAGAUUUAGGAUUUUUUGAGGUUGUCGACAUCUCACUAGAUAAACCGGAUUUUGAAAAUGAUUUGAUUAUUGAUUACUAAUUACCUCUGAAAAUUUAGUAUUUUUGGA